AACGAACGCUGGCGGCAGGCCUUUCACAUGCAAGUCGAGCGCACCUUCGGGUGAGCGGCGGACGGGUUAGUAACGCGUGGGAACGUGCCCUUCUCUACGGAAUAGCCUCUGGAAACGGAGAGUAAUACCGUAUACGCCCUUUGGGGGAAAGAUUUAUCGGAGAAGGAUCGGCCCGCGUUAGAUUAGGCUGUUGGUGAGGUAAUGGCUCACCAAACCUGUAAUCUAUAGCUGGUCUGAGAGGACGAUCAGCCACACUGGGACUGAGACACGGCCCAGACUCCUACGGGAGGCAGCAGUGGGGAAUAUUGGACAAUGGGGGAAACCCUGAUCCAGCAAUGCCGCGUGAGUGAUGAAGGCCCUAGGGUUGUAAACCGCUUUCAGGAGGGAAGAAACUGACGGUACCUCCAGAAGAAGCUCCGGCCAACUACGUG
rnacentral:rRNA from 1 species